GCUUCUGUCCCCUUUCGUUGGGUAAGAAGAUGAAGCGGAAAGCAAAGUCAGUGAAGAGCAGAAAGCAAAGAAGAGGAAAGAAAGCCAUGGACCUACUUGCAUUUAACACUCAAACCCAUUUUCAUUUUCCAAUUUCUAAGAUUAUUCCGCCUCGGAGGCAGAGGCAAUGUAGUGCGAAUGACUUGGUUCUUCUAUCUCAAUUUUCUAAAGAAGAAUGCUUCUCUUCUAACAUGAGGUGGAAAGGGCAACCUGUUCAUGAAAGGACAAAAAUUAAACAACUUCAUGCUCUUAGAGUUAUAUCUUCAGGUUUGGAAGAUUCUCAAGCUUCUUCUUCCCAGUUUGAGGAAUUUUCUGUAACGCCGUGUAAAACUGACAAAGCUAAUGAAUUGAAGAUAAGCAUGGUUGUAGAAGGCAAAAGAACUCAAGCAAUUUUUGAUGAUGUGUUUUCUUCGAUGGUUGCUGAUGCUCAGCCAAUUCCAGGGUUUCGAAGAGUCAAAGGAGGAAAGACAACGAAUAUACCCAAAAACAUUCUUUUGGAAAUUCUUGGGCCAUCAAAAGUUUACAAACAAGUCAUUAAAAGAAUAAUAAGCUCUACCAUCUCUGAUUAUGUGCAGAAGGAUGCCACGAUGUUAGCUACUUAUAUCCUUUCUAGAAGCAUAUCCAAGUGGUCUCUUGUACGCUUGAAGACCGAGAAUUUGUUCUAGCAAGUUGGCUUACAUCCAAAAAGCUGUUGCAUGACAGAGAUAUUUUGUAUGUGUUUUUCCAUGACAUAAUUCAGAUUUACCCUAAACAUGUAUCAGGAAGGUUUGUCAGUUGGUAAAGAUUUGCGAGUGCAACAAAGUUUUGAAGAUCUUGAAGCAACAUUUGAACCUGGUGAUCAGUUCAAAUUUGAGGCCAUCCUUCAGUGUCAAGAUUGAAGUUUUACAAAUAAAGCUUUUUGGUAUUUUAUUGUUGUUUAGAACUUAGCUUAGCUUGGUUAUGGCAUAGUGUUUUGUAAAGCAUGAUGUUAAAAUUCGUUGCUUCCCAGUUCUAUUUGGAAGUAUGAUUGUGGGAGAUAUAGUUCAUAUUUGAUUCAACUUCUAAUUGUGCCUUAUCCCAUGGGGUUUGCCCAACUAAAAUUUGUCAUUCCAAAGCUUCAAGAGAAUGCUAGAUUAGAACCCAAGUUCAUUGGGGUGAGAAA